UGAUAGCUAUGAAGCGUGAGGUUGCUGCCGCAACAAAAUAUAUAUAAGAAACGGCAGGUUUUCCGCGGAGCGAAUGUUGAUGGCGGGUA
rnacentral:ncRNA from 1 species